UACGAAGGGGGCUAGCGUUGCUCGGAAUCACUGGGCGUAAAGGGUGCGUAGGCGGGUCUUUAAGUCAGGGGUGAAAUCCUGGAGCUCAACUCCAGAACUGCCUUUGAUACUGAAGAUCUUGAGUUCGGGAGAGGUGAGUGGAACUGCGAGUGUAGAGGUGAAAUUCGUAGAUAUUCGCAAGAACACCAGUGGCGAAGGCGGCUCACUGGCCCGAUACUGACGCUGAGGCACGAAAGCGUGGGGAGCCAACAGG
rnacentral:rRNA from 1 species